rnacentral:rRNA from 1 species
AAUGAACGCUGGCGGCAUGCCUAACACAUGCAAGUCGAACGAAAACACGGGGAGCUUUCUCCCAUGACGUUGGCGGGGGACGGGUGAGUAACACAUGGAUAGCCUACCUCUAAGACUGGGGUGACAACGGGGAAAAAUAUCUACUAACGGAUAAUAUAUCGAACCGGAUGGUUCAAUAGUGAAAGACGCUUUUGGUGACAGUAAUAGCCGAACCCGGGCCGCAUUAGCUAGUGGGUAAGGUAACGGCUUACCAACGCGACGAUGCGUAGCCGACCUGAGAGGGUGAUCGGCCACACUGGAACUGAGACACGGUCCAGACUCCUACGGGAGGCAGCAGUAGGGAAUCUUCCGCAAUGGGCGAAAGCCUGACAGAGCAACACCGCGUGAGUGAUGAAGGUCUUCGGAUCGUAAAGCUCUGUUGUUAGGAAAGAACAAAAGUGUAUUUACCCAUGCCUGUAUUGACGGUACCGAAACAAUAAGCCCCGGCUAACUACGUG